UACAGAGGUGGCAAGCGUUGUUCGGAAUUACUGGGCGUAAAGGGCGCGUAGGCGGUUCGUUAAGUCCUGUGUGAAAUCCCCCGGCUCAACUGGGGAACUGCACAGGAAACUAGCGGGCUUGAGUCCGGGAGAGGUGAGUGGAACUCCGAGUGUAGAGGUGAAAUUCGUAGAUAUUCGGAAGAACACCAGUGGCGAAGGCGGCUCACUGGCCCGGUACUGACGCUGAGGUGCGAAAGCGUGGGGAGCAAACAGG
rnacentral:rRNA from 1 species